rnacentral:rRNA from 1 species
AGCGUACACGGUGGAUGCCCUGGCAGUCAGAGGCGAUGAAGGACGUGCUAAUCUGCGAUAAGCGUCGGUAAGGUGAUAUGAACCGUUAUAACCGGCGAUUUCCGAAUGGGGAAACCCAGUGUGAUUCGUCACACUAUCAUUAACUGAAUCCAUAGGUUAAUGAGGCGAACCGGGGGAACUGAAACAUCUAAGUACCCCGAGGAAAAGAAAUCAACCGAGAUUCCCCCAGUAGCGGCGAGCGAACGGGGAGCAGCCCAGAGCCUGAAUCAGUGUGUGUGUUAGUGGAAGCGUCUGGAAAGGCGCGCGAUACAGGGUGACAGCCCCGUACACAAAAAUGCACAUGCUGUGAGCUCGAUGAGUAGGGCGGGACACGUGGUAUCCUGUCUGAAUAUGGGGGGACCAUCCUCCAAGGCUAAAUACUCCUGACUGACCGAUAGUGAACCAGUACCGUGAGGGAAAGGCGAAAAGAACCCCGGCGAGGGGAGUGAAAAAGAACCUGAAACCGUGUACGUACAAGCAGUGGGAGCCUCUUUAUGGGGUGACUGCGUACCUUUUGUAUAAUGGGUCAGCGACUUAUAUUCUGUAGCAAGGUUAACCGAAUAGGGGAGCCGAAGGGAAACCGAGUCUUAACUGGGCGUUAAGUUGCAGGGUAUAGACCCGAAACCCGGUGAUCUAGCCAUGGGCAGGUUGAAGGUUGGGUAACACUAACUGGAGGACCGAACCGACUAAUGUUGAAAAAUUAGCGGAUGACUUGUGGCUGGGGGUGAAAGGCCAAUCAAACCGGGAGAUAGCUGGUUCUCCCCGAAAGCUAUUUAGGUAGCGCCUCGUGAAUUCAUCUCCGGGGGUAGAGCACUGUUUCGGCAAGGGGGUCAUCCCGACUUACCAACCCGAUGCAAACUGCGAAUACCGGAGAAUGUUAUCACGGGAGACACACGGCGGGUGCUAACGUCCGUCGUGAAGAGGGAAACAACCCAGACCGCCAGCUAAGGUCCCAAAGUCAUGGUUAAGUGGGAAACGAUGUGGGAAGGCCCAGACAGCCAGGAUGUUGGCUUAGAAGCAGCCAUCAUUUAAAGAAAGCGUAAUAGCUCACUGGUCGAGUCGGCCUGCGCGGAAGAUGUAACGGGGCUAAACCAUGCACCGAAGCUGCGGCAGCGACGCUUAUGCGUUGUUGGGUAGGGGAGCGUUCUGUAAGCCUGUGAAGGUGUGCUGUGAGGCAUGCUGGAGGUAUCAGAAGUGCGAAUGCUGACAUAAGUAACGAUAAAGCGGGUGAAAAGCCCGCUCGCCGGAAGACCAAGGGUUCCUGUCCAACGUUAAUCGGGGCAGGGUGAGUCGACCCCUAAGGCGAGGCCGAAAGGCGUAGUCGAUGGGAAACAGGUUAAUAUUCCUGUACUUGGUGUUACUGCGAAGGGGGGACGGAGAAGGCUAUGUUGGCCGGGCGACGGUUGUCCCGGUUUAAGCGUGUAGGCUGGUUUUCCAGGCAAAUCCGGAAAAUCAAGGCUGAGGCGUGAUGACGAGGCACUACGGUGCUGAAGCAACAAAUGCCCUGCUUCCAGGAAAAGCCUCUAAGCAUCAGGUAACAUCAAAUCGUACCCCAAACCGACACAGGUGGUCAGGUAGAGAAUACCAAGGCGCUUGAGAGAACUCGGGUGAAGGAACUAGGCAAAAUGGUGCCGUAACUUCGGGAGAAGGCACGCUGAUAUGUAGGUGAGGUCCCUCGCGGAUGGAGCUGAAAUCAGUCGAAGAUACCAGCUGGCUGCAACUGUUUAUUAAAAACACAGCACUGUGCAAACACGAAAGUGGACGUAUACGGUGUGACGCCUGCCCGGUGCCGGAAGGUUAAUUGAUGGGGUUAGCGGUAACGCGAAGCUCUUGAUCGAAGCCCCGGUAAACGGCGGCCGUAACUAUAACGGUCCUAAGGUAGCGAAAUUCCUUGUCGGGUAAGUUCCGACCUGCACGAAUGGCGUAAUGAUGGCCAGGCUGUCUCCACCCGAGACUCAGUGAAAUUGAACUCGCUGUGAAGAUGCAGUGUACCCGCGGCAAGACGGAAAGACCCCGUGAACCUUUACUAUAGCUUGACACUGAACAUUGAGCCUUGAUGUGUAGGAUAGGUGGGAGGCUUUGAAGUGUGGACGCCAGUCUGCAUGGAGCCGACCUUGAAAUACCACCCUUUAAUGUUUGAUGUUCUAACGUUGACCCGUAAUCCGGGUUGCGGACAGUGUCUGGUGGGUAGUUUGACUGGGGCGGUCUCCUCCUAAAGAGUAACGGAGGAGCACGAAGGUUGGCUAAUCCUGGUCGGACAUCAGGAGGUUAGUGCAAUGGCAUAAGCCAGCUUGACUGCGAGCGUGACGGCGCGAGCAGGUGCGAAAGCAGGUCAUAGUGAUCCGGUGGUUCUGAAUGGAAGGGCCAUCGCUCAACGGAUAAAAGGUACUCCGGGGAUAACAGGCUGAUACCGCCCAAGAGUUCAUAUCGACGGCGGUGUUUGGCACCUCGAUGUCGGCUCAUCACAUCCUGGGGCUGAAGUAGGUCCCAAGGGUAUGGCUGUUCGCCAUUUAAAGUGGUACGCGAGCUGGGUUUAGAACGUCGUGAGACAGUUCGGUCCCUAUCUGCCGUGGGCGCUGGAGAACUGAGGGGGGCUGCUCCUAGUACGAGAGGACCGGAGUGGACGCAUCACUGGUGUUCGGGUUGUCAUGCCAAUGGCACUGCCCGGUAGCUAAAUGCGGAAGAGAUAAGUGCUGAAAGCAUCUAAGCACGAAACUUGCCCCGAGAUGAGUUCUCCCUGACUCCUUGA